GAUGAAGAACGUAGUGAAAUGCGAUAAGUAAUGUGAAUUGCAGAAUUCAGUGAAUCAUCGAAUCUUUGAACGCACAUUGCGCCCGCCAGUAUUCUGGCGGGCAUGCCUGUUCGAGCGUCAUUUCAACCAUCAAGCCCUGCUUGCGUUGGGGUCCUGCGGCUGCCCGCAGGCCCUGAAAACCAGUGGCGGGCUCGCUAGUCACACCGAGCGCAGUAAUACAUCUCGCUUUGGGCGUGCGGCGGGUUCUUGCCGUUAAACAACCCCUUUUUACCAAGGUUGACCUCGGAUCAGGUAGGAAUACCCGCUGAACUUAAGCAUAUCAAUAAGCGGAGGA
rnacentral:misc_RNA from 1 species